rnacentral:lncRNA from 1 species
GUGUACAUCAUUGGGAAUGGAGGGAAAUAAAUGACUGGAUGGUCGCUGCUUUUUAAGUUUCAAAUUGACAUUCCAGACAAGCGGUGCCUGAGCCCGUGCCUGUCUUCAGAUCUUCACAGCACAGUUCCUGGGAAGGUGGAGCCACCAGCCUCUCCUUGGCUCUGCCGACUUCCAGUUCUGGAACAAGAUGGUUAAACUCAUUUUUCCCUGCUCUGCUCCUCUAAAUACAACUAAGUACCUUGGAAACUAUUCAGCAGACAAUGAUAAAGGGCUCUGAAAGCUAGAAGAAAAGGUGUACUUGCAAGAAACCUCAGGACUUGAGUAACAGCAACAUGUUUGACUUUGAAGGAUCACUUUCCCCUGUCAUUGCGCCCAAAAAAGCCUUCCGAGACUGGAUCUGAUGAUGACUGGGAAUAUUUACUAAAUUCAGACUACCACCAGAGUGUUGAGUCUCAUCUUUUGAACAGAUCUUUAUGUCUGAGUCCUUCAGAAGCUUCACAGAUGAAGGAUGAGGAUUUUUCACAGAAUCUCAGUCUGGAUUCUUCUACACUUCUCUUUACUCACAUACCUGCAAUUUUUUUCGUUCUUCGCCUUGUGUAUGAGGAGCUUAAGUUGAAUACUCUAAUGGGAGAAGGAAUUUGUUCACUCUUGAACUUCUCGUUCAGUUGGCAAGGUCAAACAGGAUUUAUGCAUCAUCCAUCAUUUUUUACGUCUGAGCCACCAAGUAUUUAUCAGUGGGUGAGUUCUUGUCUGAAGGGCGAAGGAAUGCCGCCUUAUCCUUACCUCCCUGGAAUCUGUGAAAGAAGCAGACUUGUAGUCUUGAGUAUUGCACUGUACAUACUUGGUGAUGAGAGCUCAGUUUCUGAUGAAUCCUCACAGUAUUUAACCAGAAUAACUGUAGCCCCCCAGAAGUUGCAAGCAGAACAAGAGGAAAACAGGUUUAGUUUCAGGCAUUCUACGUCUGUUUCUAGUCUAGCUGAAAGAUUGGUUGGCUGGAUGACUAAUGUAGGAUUCACUUUAAGAGAUUUGGAAACUCUUCCCUUUGGAAUUGCUCUUCCCAUCAGAGAUGCAAUUUAUCACUGUCGUGAGCAGCCUGCCUCAGACUGGCCAGAAGCUGUCUGUCUCUUGACUGGACGUCAGGAUCUUUCCAAGCAGGCCUGCGAAGGAAACUUACCCAAAGGGAAGUCUGUACAGAAACUGAGGAGGAAGAUGACGGCAUGAAUGACAUGAAUCACGAGGUCAUGUCAUUAAUAUGGAGUGAAGAUUUAAGGGUGCAGGAUGUGCGAAGGCUUCUUCAGAGUGCGCAUCCUGUCCGUGUCAACGUAGUGCAGUACCCAGAGCUCAGUGACCACGAGUUCAUCGAGGAAAAGGAAAACAGAUUGCUCCAAUUGUGUCAGCGAACUAUGGCUCUUCCUGUAGGACGAGGAAUGUUUACCUUGUUUUCGUACCAUCCUGUUCCAACAGAGCCAUUGCCUAUUCCUAAAUUGAAUCUGACUGGGCGUGCCCCUCCUCGGAACACAACAGUAGACCUUAAUAGUGGAAACAUCGAUGUGCCUCCCAACAUGACAAGCUGGGCCAGCUUUCAUAAUGGUGUGGCUGCUGGCCUGAAGAUAGCUCCUGCCUCCCAGAUCGACUCAGCUUGGAUUGUUUACAAUAAGCCCAAGCAUGCUGAGUUGGCCAAUGAGUAUGCUGGCUUUCUCAUGGCUCUGGGUUUGAAUGGGCACCUUACCAAGCUGGCGACUCUCAAUAUCCAUGACUACUUGACCAAGGGCCAUGAAAUGACAAGCAUUGGACUGCUACUUGGUGUUUCUGCUGCAAAACUAGGCACCAUGGAUAUGUCUAUUACUCGGCUUCUUAGCAUUCGCAUUCCUGCUCUCUUACCCCCAACGUCCACAGAGCUGGAUGUUCCUCACAAUGUCCAAGUGGCUGCAGUGGUUGGCAUUGGCCUUGUAUAUCAAGGGACAGCUCACAGACAUACUGCAGAAGUCCUGUUGGCUGAGAUAGGACGGCCUCCUGGUCCUGAAAUGGAAUACUGCACUGACAGAAAGUCAUACUCCUUAGCUGCUGGCUUGGCCCUGGGCAUGGUCUGCUUGGGGCAUGGCAGCAAUUUGAUAGGUAUGUCUGAUCUCAAUGUGCCUGAGCAGCUCUAUCAGUACAUGGUUGGAGGACAUAGGCGCUUUCAAACAGGAAUGCAUAGGGAGAAACAUAAAUCACCAAGUUAUCAAAUCAAAGAAGGAGAUACCAUAAAUGUGGAUGUGACUUGUCCAGGUGCUACUCUAGCUUUGGCUAUGAUCUACUUAAAAACCAAUAACAGGCUACAGAGUGCGGUGGCGCCAGCACAGAACUCUGCUCAAUGUCCCUCUGUGCUUUCACGAUGCUGAUGGAUUAUGAAGUUUGUCAUCCAGGACCUGAAAGGGUUUUGUCUAUCAGCUGCACCCCUGGGUAGCGACACAACCUUGGGGAAGGCCUCAGCCCCAUCCCUCGUACAGCAGGAAUGAGAACAGCACUGCCUGUUGGGAAGCUUGAGGGAGGCUAUGGACGUGCAGCGCUUGGCAGAGGGUCUCGUCAUGGAAGGUUCCAGCAAAUGUCAAGGAGAGCCCCUGGAUGACUAUGUGAAUACCCAGGGGCCUUCACUGUUCAGUGUCACUAAGAAGCAGCUGGGGGCAGGAAGCAGAGAAGAAUGUGCAGCAAAAUGUGAAGAGGACAAAGAAUUCACCUGCAGGGCAUUCCAAUAUCACAGUAAAGAGCAACAAUGUGUGAUAAUGGCUGAAAACAGGAAGUCCUCCAUAAUCAUUAGGAUGAGAGAUGCAGUUUUAUUUGAAAAGUAAAUGUAUCUUUCAGAGUGCAAGACUGGGAAUGGAAAGAACUACAGAGGGACGAUGUCCAAAACAAAAAAUGGCAUCACCUGUCAAAAAUGGAGUUCCACUUCUCCCCGCAGACCUAGGGCUGCAAUCAAGAUGUUGGCAUGGCUGGGGUCUCAUCUGAAGGCUGGACUGGAGAAGAAUCUACUUCCAAACUUAUGUGGUAGUUGGAAGAAUUUAGUUCCUCAAGGCUGCUAAACUGAUGGCCUGUGUUCCUUGCCUCUGGGAUGGUAGCUUGCUUCAACAAAGUGUGCAAGCAGAGAAGACAGAGAGAGUCCGCUAGCAAGAUAGAAGCCACAAUCUCUUGUAAUCUAUCAUUUUUGCUGUAUGCUACUGGUUAAAAAUAACUCAUUAGGUUAGCCUACUGGCUCUCAGGGGGAAGAGAUUAUACAAAGGCAUGAAUUUCUGGAGGAGGGAAUGAGGGCAAAGAACUCUGAAAAGUUUCUCUUCCACAAUCUGAAGAACUUCUAGAAAGUAGAAGGAAGCAAUAUUGCUUAGGGAUGGACAACUUGGCACUGGUUAUGUGUUCCAAGUGAGGUAACCUUGUUCCCAGGAAUAAAGAGAACCAGAUGACUGUAAACAUUUCCCUAAACUGAAAUGCACUGUUGUAUGUUCACCUGAAAUGAAUGGUGUAAGCUGAAUAUGAGAUUUUUGACAAAAUAAA